GUGGGGAAUAUUGGACAAUGGGCGCAAGCCUGAUCCAGCCAUGCCGCGUGAGUGAUGAAGGUCUUAGGAUUGUAAAGCUCUUUCACCGGUGAAGAUAAUGACGGUAACCGGAGAAGAAGCCCCGGCUAACUUCGUGCCAGCAGCCGCGGUAAUACGAAGGGGGCUAGCGUUGUUCGGAAUUACUGGACGUAAAGCGCACGUAGGCGGAUAUUUAAGUCAGGGGUGAAAUCCCAGAGCUCAACUCUGGAACUGCCUUUGAUACUGGGUAUCUUGAGUAUGGAAGAGGUGAGUGGAAUUCCGAGUGUAGAGGUGAAAUUCGUAGAUAUUCGGAGGAACACCAGUGGCGAAGGCGGCUCACUGGUCCAUUACUGACGCUGAGGUGCGAAAGCGUGGGGAGCAAACAGGAUUAGAAACCCUAGUAGUCC
rnacentral:rRNA from 1 species